rnacentral:rRNA from 1 species
AUUGAACGCUGGCGGCAGGCCUAACACAUGCAAGUCGAGCGGAUGAGUGGAGCUUGCUCCAUGAUUCAGCGGCGGACGGGUGAGUAAUGCCUAGGAAUCUGCCUGGUAGUGGGGGACAACGUUUCGAAAGGAACGCUAAUACCGCAUACGUCCUACGGGAGAAAGCAGGGGACCUUCGGGCCUUGCGUUAUCAGAUGAGCCUAGGUCGGAUUAGCUAGUAGGUGAGGUAAUGGCUCACCUAGGCGACGAUCCGUAACUGGUCUGAGAGGAUGAUCAGCCACACUGGGACUGAGACACGGCCCAGACUCCUACGGGAGGCAGCAGUGGGGAAUUUUUGGACAAUGGGCGCAAGCCUGAUCCAGCAAUGCCGCGUGCAGGAUGAAGGCCUCGGUUGUAACUAGCUUUGUACGGUAACGAACGGUA